CAGUCCACCAGAAGAAGUUGAUUCCGUUCUCGGCUUCUCGUCCUAUCCUACAGUUUCGUCCUUAUUAUCUCAGUCCACACCUCACUUCCCAUGUUUGAUUAUUUAUACUAAAAAUGUUUAAAACAAAAUAAUUUAAAAGGAAAGAAGAAACCCAAUUAACUAUUACCAGAAACCCAUCAUUAUUUUACUAUAAAGGUAUGCAAUUUUCACGACCACAGAAAAAUUGGCUCAAAGGGUUCUCGUGGUUUUGUUCAUUUGUUUGAAAUUUAUCUUCUUCUCUCUCAAAGUUUAUUGCUUUUUGUUGAUUUGAAUAAAAAAGCUGAGUUGGGAUGGCUCUUAAUUUAUUGUCUCCAGCUGAAAUCAAAGCCAUCUCUUUCUUGGAUUCCACCAAGUACACCCACCUCCCCAAGCUUCCAGGUGGGUUUGCUUUGAGGAGGAAAGAUUGCAAAACAGUAGUUGGGAGAAUUCAAUGCUCAGCAGCAGCACAGACACCUCCUCCAGCUUGGCCGGGACGUGCCGUUCCGGAGACAAGCCGCAGAACUUGGGAUGGCCCAAAGCCUAUUUCGAUUGUUGGA